GUGGGGAAUAUUGGACAAUGGGCGCAAGCCUGAUCCAGCCAUGCCGCGUGAGUGAUGAAGGCCUUAGGGUUGUAAAGCUCUUUCACCGAUGAAGAUAAUGACGGUAGUCGGAGAAGAAGCCCCGGCUAACUUCGUGCCAGCAGCCGCGGUAAUACGAAGGGGGCUAGCGUUGUUCGGAUUUACUGGGCGUAAAGCGCACGUAGGCGGUUUGUUAAGUCAGAGGUGAAAUCCCGGAGAUCAACUCAGGAACUGACUUUGAUACUGGCAAGCUAGAGUCCGGAAGAGGUAAGUGGAACUCCUAGUGUAUAGGUGGAAUUCGUAGAUAUUAGGAAGAACACCAGUGGCGAAGGCGGCUUACUGGUCCGGAACUGACGCUGAGGUGCGAAAGCGUGGGGAGCAAACAGGAUUAGAUACCCGUGUAGUCC
rnacentral:rRNA from 1 species